rnacentral:rRNA from 1 species
UACGUAGGGUCCGAGCGUUGUCCGGAAUCACUGGGCGUAAAGCGCACGUAGGCGGCUUUUUAAGUCAGGGGUGAAAUCCUGGAGCUCAACUCCAGAACUGCCUUUGAUACUGGGAAGCUUGAGUCCGGGAGAGGUGAGUGGAACUCCGAGUGUAGAGGUGAAAUUCGUAGAUAUUCGGAAGAACACCAGUGGCGAAGGCGGCUCACUGGCCCGGUACUGACGCUGAGGUGCGAAAGCGUGGGGAGCAAACAGG